CUCUCUCUCUCUCUCUUCACUUCUGCUCUGUAUUAGUGCUGAAGCUUCUCUGCUCUAACAAUGGUGAUCUCCAUCUUAAUUAUCUAUUUUUUCUUCACAUUUUCUUUUUCGCCGUCCUUUGUGUUGAAUUACUGGGGGGUAGAGUUUUCUAUUCUGUUAAAUUUCCUGAUUUCUACAAUGGACUUGAAUUCAUUUGUCAUCGAAUGCAAUAACCUAGCGAGGAUAUACAAUUGACGAGAUUAGUGAUUGUUUUUCUGUAAUAUCAGCAGCAAAUCCAGUAGGAUUAUACAUACUAUUCUUUGAUGGAUUGUCUAUUUUUGUGAAGAGGAUUAUUGGCUAUUUGCGAACUUAAUUGCUUUGCUAGGGCAUUUGCAAUUCUUUCCGUUCUUCCUCCUUUAUGUAGAAUUUUCUACUGCGCAUAGUGUGUGAAAUAGUUACAGCACAAAAAGGAAGGGAGUAAUUAUGGAAAAGGAGGUUUAUCACAUCUUACUUAUUUACUUUUGUGAUUUCGGUCUUGCAUGGGAUGAUUUAAGAGCUAUAUGCCUAUAUAUACUCUUUAAACCUUUGUAGCCAUUGUGCUAGGGGAGAGAUCCAACAUUUGCUCCAUGAUCACCAACACCAAUUCACAGGCAUUGCUGUGUAGAAGUGUUUGUUGUCCUGAAGAGGAGUCUAACACUCUACAUGGACAUAGGCCAAAGGCCUCAUAACGUAAAUCUGUAUGUGCUCUGUUCUUCUUUUCUUUCCUCGCAUAAUCUCUGUUUUGCUUUGUUCUGUGCCAUUCGAAUCUGUUUGUUUCUGAGUUUUGUUUAACAAACGUCGUGCUUAGUAUCAUCCCCAUGGAUGACCCUCAUCAGGUAUGUGCUCUGAAUUGGCUCUUCAUGUACAUGAGUGUAUUCCCUGACUCUUACAUGCCUUAUUACAGUCUGCCAUUGAAUUAAUGCCAAGUUUGUUACGUUUUUCUCUUAACCACAACCCAUUGUUAUAUUAUUUACUUAACUAAUUAGUGGUUUCAGUUAUUACAUAAUAGUCGGUAUCUUCCUUGGUUGAUCACUUUAUAUGUUGCUGCUCUGGAAUGCAAAUGGGACGAGGAAUUGUAGGUGCUAGUAGUAAUAUCUCGUCCACCAGUGAAAGUGUUUAUAUGACACGACUGGUUCACAUCACAUGCUGCAAACUGCAGCUAAAUUGAAGUUCUAUUUUUGGGAUGAAGACUGCUUCCAUACACUAAGAGAUGAAUUGUGAUUUAUUUUUGUGCCACCUUAUCGAAUUGUUUUAGCUGAUCUAAAACUUGUGCCAUGCAUUGUUAGAUUAGGAAUGCCAUAGACAAAACCCAACAUAUGGAAAUGGACAGGGUGUUCAUAGUGAAAAAAGGAUAAGAAGAGAUGACUAAGAUUGCAUGAUUGGAGGCAAAGUAGGGUCCUACAUUAACAAAGCAUGUGGAAAUGAAAAGAGAGCUAAAAGUUUUCUUUUUCUCAAUUCCAUGUAUCUUCUCUUUUGAUGUACAAGAGGAACUUCAACCAUGAGGAAAAUACUUAAACUGAAAAUUUGAUGGCACACUGGCACCUGAAUCUUGGGCUUCAAUGUCCUAUAUAGCCAGUUUUAGUAUGUCACUUCAUUGAAUUACUCAUGACUAUUCCCCCUUGUUUCCAAUUUGGAACAUCUUGUGUUUUAUCAUGUACUCAAAACAUAGGUCGCUUUUAAAGCACAAAUCUUGGUAGUGUAACACAAUGCAUCAGGUUUGUUGUCAUCCUAGAGCUGGGCUGUUACAUUGGUCAAGCUAAAAGCCUAAAACUGUUGGAUUGGAAAUUUCAGCUGGGGAUUGUUUCUUUUGGAAUUGGCACCCUUUCAUGGUUUAUAGGGCUAUAACCUGGUAUUGGAAGAAUGGAAGUCUUGGUUUUGGGACACAGUAGAGUCUUUUCCUGAAGUUGACAUGACAGAAGAGGAACACCAAUGUCCUCAAGGAACAAUUAAUGCACAUUUCCUCCACACCCAGUGACAGUGAGUUUAUACAUCGACAUCAUGGUGGGCCUCUCUCACAAACCUCAGCCAGUGAUCCAUCCUCAAGCCUGUCUCAGUGCAGCCGACAGCGAUAGACAUCCACUUGGGAGGCAGCCACGAAUUGUUUUGCGUGUACCCUCUCAGCCAGAAAGCAUCUAUUCUCUGUACUGCUGCACGCUUGCACACCCCCCCCCCCAUCCUGUCCUUCCAUUUUUCAUUUUCAUUGUCCUGUCAUCUUGUCUGGCCUUUGCCGUGCUCUCUCAGCAAACAACUAGACAGCAGUGGCGUUUUAAUUUGAUAACUAUAUGAAAACGUUUCAAAAUCUGAAAUUUGCGUCUCUGCCUCACUUGUCAUUAAAUGUACUCAUUUGUACAAGCAAGGUUCAGACUUCAGAGG